rnacentral:rRNA from 1 species
GACGAACGCUGGCGGCGUGCUUAACACAUGCAAGUCGAACGGAAAGGCCCUGCUUGUGUGGUGUGCUCGAGUGGCGAACGGGUGAGUAACACGUGAGUAACCUGCCCUUGACUUUGGGAUAACUUCAGGAAAGUGGGGCUAAUACCGGAUAGGAGCUCCUGCUGCAUGGUGGGGGGUGGAAAGUUUCGGCGGGUGGGGAUGGACUCGCGGCUGAUCAGCUUGUUGGUGGGGGAGGGGCUUACCAAGGCUUUGACGGGUAGCCGGCCUGAGAGGGUGACCGGGCACAUUGGGCCUGAGAUACGGAGCAGACUCCUACGGGAGGCAGCAGUGGGGAAUAUUGCCCAAUGGGCGGAAGCCUGAUGCAGCAACGCCGCGUGCGGGAUGACGGCCUUCGGGUUGUAAACCGCUUUCGCCUGUGACGAAGCGUGAGUGACGGUAAUGGGUAAAGAAGCACCGGCUAACUACGUG